CGAAACAAUAGAUCAAGCCCUGUUUUGCAGUUUUGCUGAUUUCCAUACUCUUACCGUGGCCAAGUUCAUGCUACCAAUGUGACAUCACUGAGCAUGGAGUUGGGAGGAGAUUUACAGCAGCACACCACAGUAUUGCACUUCCGCCACACAGAUGUAGUAGACAUUAAUAAUCUCAAGAACAUAGAUAAUAGGAAAGUGUAUUUUAGUAGAGAUGGGGUUUCACUAUAAUGGCCAGGUUGGUCUCGAACUCCUGGCCUCAAGAGAUCCC
rnacentral:lncRNA from 1 species